rnacentral:rRNA from 1 species
GACGAACGCUGGCGGCGUGCUUAACACAUGCAAGUCGAACGGUGAAGGUGGAGCUUGCUCCGCCGGAUCAGUGGCGAACGGGUGAGUAACACGUGGGCAACCUGCCCCAGACUCCGGGAUAACUCCUCGAAAGAGGUGCUAAUACCGGACACGAACUGCUUGGGCAUCCUUGGAGUUGGAAAGUUUUUCGGUCUGGGAUGGGCCCGCGGCCUAUCAGCUUGUUGGUGAGGUAACGGCUGACCAAGGCGGCGACGGGUAGCCGGCCUGAGAGGGCGACCGGCCACACUGGGGCUGAGACACGGGCCAGACUCCGACGGGAGGCAGCAGUGGGGAAUAUUGCGCAAUGGGCGAAAGCCUGACGCAGCAACGCCGCGUGAGGGAUGACGGCCUUCGGGUUGUAAACCUCUUUCAGCAGGGAAGAAGCGAAAGUGACGGUACCUGCAGAAGAAGCACCGGCUAACUACGUGCCAGCAGCCGCGGUAA